AAUGAGAACGCGAGUCAGGUGGUGCGUGCGCCCGCCGCGCGCGGGAGGACUUGCCUCUGAUUUGAACAUCCAAGAGAGAAAAUUUUUUCUCCCAAUUUGAACAUGGGUGUCAAGGUGGCUAGAGCCAAUUUUGUUCCCAUCACCUGAAGAAAAUACCAAGACUUGUAGCCUUUCUAUUGCCUAUAUGACAGAUCCAUGUACUCAGCAGCUGAAGUGUACAAGGAAAUGAAGAAUUACUUAAAUUCACCCAAAAAUGAUACUGUGUAUGUGCUAUUUCUAGUAGCCUCUCUCUUCCUGCAACUUGCUAGGUACUUUGGUAUUACUCCGUGUGUUUGUAAUGACGACAUUUCACAAGGGGCAAGAAUUUCCACUCUCCAGUAUUUAUUUUAUACAUUGUCACCCCCUUUCAUUUUCAACACAACUAGGCAACAGCAUUAUCCUAGUUUUACAAAAGUGGAAACUGAGGCCCUGGGAGGUAAAGUGCCUUCCUUAAGCAGGAGAGCUGACAACUACAGCAAGUUCUCCUGAUUCCAGGGCCUGUGGCCUCCUUCCAUCCGACAGUAGGCAAGAAACCAAGUGAUCAAGAAGAAGGCUUAUGAGCCGGGCCGCAGACGAAGAGGUGGCAAGUGCAGGCAGUUUACAGCAGCGUCGGAGAGUGAGGAGUUGGUGUGUAAUGAUUUGCCAUGUGGACAGACAGGCUAAAACAAGGAUAUUCUUUGUCUGAGCAUCCUUUGUGUAUAAAACAUAAACAAGGCAGGUACAGAGCUGUUUCUUGGGAAAUCCCGUCCUGUCCCUGUGGGCUUCCUUCAUUUGCUCAUCUUAUCCUCACAAUGUUCACUCCUUGGAGUCUUCCCGUCCACCAGCGCCUGCCUCAUUCAAUCCAUGAGCUAACGGGAGCCCAGAAGGAUCCUGACAGUGCCAUGGGACAAGAAGGAAAAGAGAGAAGGGCAAAGCCACAGCACUCCAGAGGACCCGAGCCCUCUCCCUGUGUGAGGCUCCCAUGCAGCGCUCAGGCCCCGCUUCUCUUCUCACCACUCAGCCCCCCGGGGGCUCCGUCAUCAUGGGGAAAGAUGAGCGAGCCUUGCUAAGUUACAUGUUCUUCUCAAGUGCUGGCUCUCUGCAUGCCAUCCCUGUGAAACAGGAACUUUCUAGAAUGUGUCUCAUUAUCACUAACGGUAAAGUGCUCAGAAAAACGUUCAGAGGGAGGGUGUGCUUGUUUCUGGGGCAGGAGGGCAGGGAACAAGCUGCAAGGCUGUUCACUCCAGGCAAGAGACAAAACCCUGGAAAGAAACCAGAGGCUGGGUGAGUGAGGAAUCAGGAGGCUGGCGUGAGCUGAAGAGACGGAAGGACAGUGUGUGCGCAUACACGUGCACGUGUGUCUGUGUGUAUAUGAAUCUGUAUGUGUGUCUGUGCAUGUCUGUAUGUAUGUCUGUGUCUGUGUAUGUGAGUCUGUGUGUAUGUGUGUGUGUGUGUGUUUUUCCCUCUAUGUAUAUGUGUGUGUGUGUUUUUCCCUCUAUGUAUAUGUGUGUGUGUAUCUGUGUGUCUAUGUGUUUCUGCAUGUCUGUGUCUGCAUAUCUGUGUGUGUGUAUGUGUCUUUGUGUCUUUGUGUCUGUGUGUCUAUGCGUGUGUGUGGGGUGGAGGGCACUGGAGCAGUGAUGGUAAGGGCUAAUGGGAGAUUAUCAAGACUGAGAAAUGCUCUGAGCUGGAGGAUGGCUUUCAAAAUUUCCAAAAUGCUUGAAAAUUCGAACUGGAAUGCUGCUCCUGCCACCUGACUGCGUGCCUGACACCCCACGCCCCACAGCUCGGAGCCCCUCUCAGCAAGGGGCCCCACAGCAUCCCACAGAGAUUCCCACUCAGCUGCCUGUUCAGAGGACUCCUCUGGUCUCUGCCAGUUUCCUGCGAGAUGCUUGCACAUCCUGAGACCCCACUGCUUCAUCAGCAACAUGGGAAUAAUAAUACCAAUAUCCACUGCACAGGACUGGUGUGAAAAAUGAAUGCACGAACACAGAAAAAAGCACAGUGCCAGACACAUGGGAGGGGAUCAUAUGUUUUUGUUUCUGAACACUGAGUGGGUGACAGCCAUGUGGCAAGAGGAGGAAAGCAUGGAGUUGGGGGCCAGACAGACUCUGCAUCAAGACCCAGUUCUCACCUUUCUCACUGUUUGGCCUUGGGCAAGCCCCUGAAUCUCUCUGGACCUCAGUUCCAGCCUUCCUUCCACCAUGGCUCCAUUAUGAACCCCACCUCCAGCUCCAGGACUAAUCCACCUGCAAAACCCAGCCCCCUUGCCCAGGGAGAUAGGGAGAAGCCACCAGCCAGGCGGGAGAACACAGAUCCAGAAUUGAACUCAUGACCUCAGCUCGUCUUGCCAAUGUGAAGCAUGUGACUUCAUUUUGCAGGUCAGAAGAGUAAAGCUGUCCAUGCCGGCUGGACAUGAACAAGGAGGCUGCCAUCCUAUGCACAGCCCCCUACAUGGCUGGUAGCCAUCUUGUGAUCAAGUCAGAAGCCAGGCUUGGGGUGAUGUUGACUCUGAGGAGGCCAGAGAGGCAGGUGGAGCCAAACCAGGGGAUAUUGUGUAGCCACUGGAUCCAACCCCUCCUGAAGCCAACCCAUCUCUGGCCCUUUCAGUUAUAGCAGGCAGUUAAAACCCUGUUGUGCAUAAGUCAGUCUGAGCAUGUUUUCUGUUGGUUGCAAGAAAGAUGCUCCCUACUUACCACCUUACACCUUACACUGUGAUACGUUGCCAAUUUAAGCCAGAGUUUUGGUGAUUGUGUCUGUUUCAAGAAGACUAUCCUCAGCUCAACUCAGGUCCAUCUAAAUCAUCUCAGAGGAAAAUUCAAAGCCCCAAAUCCUUCAAGGUACCCAAGUCUCCCUCUCCUGGUUUCUUUGCUGCCCAGGUGCACAAAGUGUGUCCCAGAGUCUAAAGAUAGAUGUGGAUCAGCUAUGGUCUGGAGGUUUACGUUCUCUCGAAAUUCAUGGGUUGAAAUCCUAACCCCCAAGGUGAGGGUAUUAGGAGGUAGGGACUAUGGGAUUGUUAGGUCAUAAUGGCAAGACCUUCGUAAAUGGGAUUAGUGCCCUUAUAAAAGAGGCCUGAGAGACACUCCUCGUCCCUUCCACCAUGUGAGCACAUGGCAAGAGAGUGCCAUGUAUGAACCAUAAAAUAGGCCUUCUCCAGAUAUUGAAUCUGCCAGUACCUUAAUCUUGGACUUCUCAGCCUCCAGAGCGAUGAAGACCCCUAGACUUCAGAGAAGAUGAUAUCUAAGUGUCAGAGCUGGGAUUCAAAACCAGAUCUGUCCAGCUCCGAAGACUGAGCUCAUAACCCUUAACACUAAUCCCCUCCCUGACCCAGCGCUGUAAUUCUAGGCUAGUCUGAUUAGAGCCCCAGAACUUCACAACCUUUUAAGAAUACAGUCAAGAAAGAAGAGAUCAUUGUUUCAACCUGCCUCUGAAUCGUAGUAAAUA